AACGAACGCUGGCGGCAUGCCUAACACAUGCAAGUCGAACGAGACCUUCGGGUCUAGUGGCGCACGGGUGCGUAACGCGUGGGAACCUGCCCUUAGGUUCGGAAUACCUCCCCGAAAGGGGUGCUAAUACCGGAUAAUGUCUUCGGACCAAAGAUUUAUCGCCUUUGGAUGGGCCCGCGUUGGAUUGGCUAGUUGGUAGGGUAAAAGCCUACCAAGGCGACGAUCCAUAGCUGGUCUGAGAGGAUGAUCAGCCACACUGGGACUGAGACACGGCCCAGACUCCUACGGGAGGCAGCAGUGGGGAAUAUUGGACAAUGGGCGAAAGCCUGAUCCAGCAAUGCCGCGUGAGUGAUGAAGGCCUUAGGGUUGUAAAGCUCUUUUACCCGGGAUGAUAAUGACAGUACCGGGAGAAUAAGCUCCGGCUAACUCCGUG
rnacentral:rRNA from 1 species